rnacentral:lncRNA from 1 species
GUAGGAGUCCAAAAUUUAUACACAUAUUAUCUUCAUCCUCAUAACCACUCCUACAAAAGAAAAAAAGCAUUCAAUUUCCCUCUUAGAUAUGGUCAAAAUUAGUACCCAUCCAACAAUGAAUCUCGACCAUCCAUUUGGUGAAUUUCAAGAUCUAGACCGUAACAAAUUCAAAAUCGCCUUUUUAUUUUUUAACAUUAUUAAUCUAAUGAUGAUAACGCUAUAUAAAAAUUUUGGAAAUAAAAAAAUCCUUAUGAGACCUAUUUCUAACCAUCUCAAUAAAAUGGACGGCUUAUAUUUAUUGGGCUAGAAUGAAGACUUUCUAGAGCAUUUUUUCAAAAUUUUCUUUGUUGUGAUUUUCUCCAUAAUGAAAAGAGAGUACAUAUAAAAAAUCGUUUCAACAAAUGUCUUUAACUUGGUUUUUUAAUAUGAUUGCAUUAUACUACUAUAC